rnacentral:rRNA from 1 species
GGAAUUCGGGAGCUACACAUGCAAGCCGAGCGGUAUGAUUCUUUCGGGAAUCAGAGAGCGGCGUACGGGUGCGGAACACGUGUGCAACCUGCCUUUAUCUGGGGGAUAGCCUUUCGAAAGGAAGAUUAAUACCCCAUAAUAUAUUGAGUGGCAUCACUUAAUAUUGAAAACUCCGGUGGAUAGAGAUGGGCACGCGCAAGAUUAGAUAGUUGGUGGGGUAACGGCCUACCAAGUCAGUGAUCUUUAGGGGGCCUGAGAGGGUGAUCCCCCACACUGGUACUGAGACACGGACCAGACUCCUACGGGAGGCAGCAGUGAGGAAUAUUGGACAAUGGGUGCAAGCCUGAUCCAGCCAUCCCGCGUGAAGGACGACGGCCCUAUGGGUUGUAAACUUCUUUUGUACAGGGAUAAACCUAGAUACGUGUAUCUAGCUGAAGGUACUGUACGAAUAAGCACCGGCUAACUCCGUGCCAGCAGCCGCGGUAAUACGGAGGGUGCAAGCGUUAUCCGGAUUUAUUGGGUUUAAAGGGUCCGUAGGCGGAUCAGUAAGUCAGUGGUGAAAUCUCAUAGCUUAACUAUGAAACUGCCAUUGAUACUGCUGGUCUUGAGUAAGGUAGAAGUAGCUGGAAUAAGUAGUGUAGCGGUGAAAUGCAUAGAUAUUACUUAGAACACCAAUUGCGAAGGCAGGUUACUAUGUCUUAACUGACGCUGAUGGACGAAAGCGUGGGGAGCGAACAGGAUUAGAUACCCUGGUAGUCCACGCUGUAAACGAUGCUAACUCGUUUUUGGGUUUUCGGAUUCAGAGACUAAGCGAAAGUGAUAAGUUAGCCACCUGGGGAGUACGAACGCAAGUUUGAAACUCAAAGGAAUUGACGGGGGCCCGCACAAGCGGUGGAUUAUGUGGUUUAAUUCGAUGAUACGCGAGGAACCUUACCAAGGCUUAAAUGGGAAUUGAUCGGUUUAGAAAUAGACCUUCCUUCGGGCAAUUUUCAAGGUGCUGCAUGGUUGUCGUCAGCUCGUGCCGUGAGGUGUUAGGUUAAGUCCUGCAACGAGCGCAACCCCUGUCACUAGUUGCCAUCAUUAAGUUGGGGACUCUAGUGAGACUGCCUACGCAAGUAGAGAGGAAGGUGGGGAUGACGUCAAAUCAUCACGGCCCUUACGCCUUGGGCCACACACGUAAUACAAUGGCCGGUACAGAGGGCAGCUACACAGCGAUGUGAUGCAAAUCUCGAAAGCCGGUCUCAGUUCGGAUUGGAGUCUGCAACUCGACUCUAUGAAGCUGGAAUCGCUAGUAAUCGCGCAUCAGCCAUGGCGCGGUGAAUACGUUCCCGGGCCUUGUACACACCGCCCGUCAAGCCAUGGAAGUCUGGGGUACCUGAAGUCGGUGACCGUAAAAGGAGCGCUAGGAAAAGCGGUAUCUA